AUUGCAAAGCACUGGGAUAAUGCCACAGGCCUUCAAAGGGAGUUAAUUUUAAUUGAUCAACUUGUGGUCCUGGAAUCCAAAUGAGCCCUCUUCUCGUUCCCCGUGAACAUUUCCACGUCCUGUCUCGGAGCGGGGAACCCUAAUUCUAGGUCAGCCCAAGAAUGUAGGAGAGAGAGCUUCACAGGAUGCUACUCAGGAAGUAACCUUGGAAGCAAAGCUAAUUCCAUUCUAAUCUGUGCUCUUGAAAUGUGAAGAUCAUAAGAAAUGAGUGAUUGAGAAGAUUCUGGAGAGCCUUGCUUGUUCCAGAUGGCUUCUGCUCCAAAAGAAGAAGCUUUUCAAGUGUCCCACGCAGUCCUGAACCCUUUGGGGCCUUCUCCUUUCACUGUGCCUCAAGCCCAAUAGAAGAAAAUCUCAUCCCAGCAGGGAAGGGAGGGUGAGGCGGAUGUGGGGGGUGUUUCAAGCAAGGUGAUUUUCUGGGUGAAAGUACUAUGUUCUUCCCAGCACUUAGCACAAAGCCUGCCACCCAGGUCAUGUGGGCGGAGAGACUUGUACUGCACCGAACAUCCUCACCUGUCAGCAGAGUAUCUGAUAGGGGUAGCAUUUACAGCACGUGCACUAAAAAUGCUAUUGUACCUUAUGCUUUACUUUAAUUACUCAAACCGGUGUUGUUUCCAGUGUUUUUUUCUCUCUCCUAAUGAACCUUCAACUGCUUGUACCUCCUUUCUCCCCCAUGGAAAAGUUGCAUAAUGAUGGCUUGUUUACAAACCUG
rnacentral:lncRNA from 1 species